rnacentral:rRNA from 1 species
CCUAGUGGCGGACGGGUGAGUAACGCGUGGGCAACCUGCCCCAUACCGGGGGAUAACAGCCGGAAACGGUUGCUAAUACCGCAUAAGCGCCAAAUGCCGCAUGGCAUGGGGCGGAAAACUCCGGUGGUAUGGGAUGGGCCCGCGUCUGAUUAGGCAGUUGGCGGGGCAGCGGCCCACCAAACCGACGAUCAGUAGCCGGCCUGAGAGGGCGGCCGGCCACAUUGGGACUGAGACACGGCCCAGACUCCUACGGAAGGCAGCAG